rnacentral:rRNA from 1 species
AUUGAACGCUGGCGGCAGGCCUAACACAUGCAAGUCGAGCGAGCGGCGGACGGGUGAGUAAUGUCUGGGAAACUGCCUGAUGGAGGGGGAUAACUACUGGAAACGGUAGCUAAUACCGCAUACCAUCAGAUGUGCCCAGAGGGGAUUAGCUAGUGGGUGGGGUAACGGCUCACCUGGGCGACGAUCCCUAGCUGGUCGGAGAGGAGGACCAGCCAAACUGGAACUGAGAUACGGGCCAGACUCCUACGGGAGGCAGCAGUGGGGAAUAUUGCACAAUGGGCGCAAGCCUGAUGCAGCCAUGCCGCGUGUGUGAAGAAGGCCUUCGGGUUGUAAAGCACUUUCAGCGGGGAGGCGUUACCCGCAGAAGAAGCACCGGCUAACUCCGUGCCAGCAGCCGCGGUAAUUC